UUAAAAUCAAGUUUAAUUGUUUUUGAUUGCUCUUAGUUAAAAAAAUUGUGAUACUUAAUGGACAUGUGUCAUUGAUCAUUGGAAAGUUUUUUCCAAUAAAUGUCUUUUGUAGUUGACUGUGUCACAGAAUUUAAGCCUAAGAAUAGUAAAAACGUCCAGAAGGAAUUAGGUGGUAACCUAUAAGUAUAUGGCAGCUCAAGUCUAGAACAAGUCAGAUUUUCCUCAUACUUCAAUUCUGAAUUUGAAUUGAAGUCAAUUCAAUUCAAAACAACUGAACUAACCUAAAAAAAGAUGUAAAUGAUUGGAGAAGAGCUGAAUUACAAAGUGAAUACGCUUCUGAUAUGGCAGGACUUCUGGCCUCUGUUAUUAUUGCCAAUGGUAGGGAUAUGUUUUGUCGUGUGUGUGUGUGUGUGUGUUCAUGCGCAUGUGUGGGUGUGUGUCAUGCAGGUGUACUUUGACAAAAUGAAAAUGAAGGAUCUGCUCUGUACUCACAUUAUCAUUGAGAAAAUUUGCCUUGUAUAUGCUAGCAUUUUUGACUCCUAUUGUCAGUAAGAAAAACAUGUAUUAAUAAUAAAAGCAUGUAUGAUUUCCAUGAUGGCUUAGAGAAAGCAAAGCAUACUCCAAAGGAUAUUUUUAAAGGACAGUGAUCCUGGUGUGGCAGAGAUGCAUGAUUAACAUAACAGAAUGCCAGCCAGAAGCACAUUUUGCCUAUUGUAAAAGUGGUUCCUCUGUUACCUUACAUUUCUGCCUACUCAGGCACUCCAAUAGCUUUGUUUUGAAUUACCUUUACCUUUCUGUUAUCCCCUUUACUUGGCAACUCUCAUUUUAAUUACCCAGAGAAACAUCUAUGCAUUUUUCUCCCAGGAGACUUUUGAAUAGUAAUAAUAUACCAUUAGCCAUCUUUGGAGAAAAAGCAAGUACUUAUCGAGAAUUAUGUUACUCAUAUUCCUCUGAGUUGUCUGUUUCUUACCCAAGUUCUAUUUAGGAUUUCAAGAUACAAUCCUGACUCAUACUUUUUAGAAGAAAACAGCCCGUGGGCUGGUACUAAGAAGAAAACUAUUCUCCUAUUUUCAAAACACUCUUGGAAAAUAGUUAUAGCCCAACCACAUAUCACACUGUGCAUGUGUAUAAUUCUUUACAAUUCAUCUGUUUGCUCCUUACAAAAAUGUUUUCAGGAUAUUAAGGAAGACAUUGGGAUUGAUUCCCAUUUUUCAUUGCAAGAAACCUAAUUACAUUAAGAGAAGCUAUUUUAGGUUAGGAGAAAGGAGCAGGUGACUGGCUUUUAUCACACACCGAGUACAUGACAAAUUCAGAACUCCAACCUAGGAUUCUAGUUUCUUACCCACACAUUCUCCUUCUCUAAAUUGGAAAUUAUUUUUCUACUUUAUUCCUUAAAUGAUAACGAUCACAUCUGACUGGGCAUUGUAUUUAUUUUUGUUUUUAUUUAUUUAUUUAUUUUUACCAAUAUUGAUAUUUUUAUUUCUUUUUUUCUUUUUUUUUAAUUUUAUUAUUAUUAUACUUUAAGUUUUAGGGUACAUGUGCACAACGUGCAGGUUAGUUACAUAUGUAUACAUGUGCCAUGUUGGUGUGCUGCACCCAUUAACUCAUCAUUUAGCAUUAGGUAUAUCUCCAAUGCUAUCCCUCCCCCCUCCCCCCACCCCACAACAGGAAGGGGAACAUCACACACCGGGGACUGUUGACUGGGCAUUUUAUUGGUGUCUUUCCACAACUUAUCCAGUGUAUGUAUUUGAAAUGCAUCUUCUUUACAGUCAUGAGCACUUUCAUGAAGAGACAAGUGGGACUGAAUGCUAAAACAGCGGCUAUUUGAACAAGCGAAAAGAGACUUGUUAAUUGGACACUGCUUUGGUUUGAGCUGCUGUUGCUGCUACUACUACUGCUACUCCUAAAGAGACAAUAACAGAACCUGUACACACUGAUGGCAGCAGUAAGCAGGAUACAGGAAUAUAAUUAUAAGUCAGCACCUCAGGAAGGGGAGACUCCUUGGGGGGCAUCCCAUUACUAAAGGAAAACUGUUAGCAGCUAUGAUGAGGCUAGGAAAGGCAUUCUGAGUAUUUUAGCAAUUGCAGGGCAAGGAACAGGAAGCAGUUGAGGAAGAGGAAAAAGCUGAAAAUAUACUUCCACUAAUCUCCAGUUUAUUUAUCUUUUCUCCAGAUAGCACUCAGCAGUGUUACUUGCAUCAUGGAUAGGAAUGGUUUUAGGAACAGCUGGCCUCUCUUGAACCAAAAGACAGAUUCUACAAAAUGAAUGCAAUUGUCAUGAUUCCUUUCUCCAGGAAGAAUUAACUUGGAUUAAAGGUGAGGAAAAUGGAUGUCUACACCACUCGCAGACGGGCUGCUACCCAUUCUUCUAACGACCCCCUUAUCUUUCCUCCAAAUCAUUGACUUUCCCUUAUGAAGAAGGCAUAUAAGCUUCUAUAUCUCACUGGGUUUUGGGGUAUUCACUUUUCUUUUUCUGUGAUGCCCCCAUGCACGUAAUAAAUUUGGGAUCUUUUG
rnacentral:lncRNA from 1 species